UGUCAUGCUUCAGUGAUGUGUGAGUGUUUAUAGUGCUGUGAGUUUAACACUUCAUGACUGAGAUCAGAACAGAACAGAAUCUUCAUCAUCACACAAACCAAAAGAACAACAAUGACUUUCAUCAUCAUCUUCAUCUGGACACUUUUUAUCCAAGGUGUCAGUGGACAGAUAACUGUGACUCAAACUCCCGCUGUUAAAACUGUUCAGACUGGUGAAUCUGUCACUAUAAACUGCAAAACAAAUACACAAGUGAGCAACUGGUGUACUGGUUCAUAUACUUGUAUGGCCUGGUACCUGCAGAAACCUGGAGAAGCUCCUAAACUCUUGAUUCAUUCUGCAAGUCAAAGACUCUCAAACACUCCAUCAAGAUUCAGUGGCAGCGGAUCAAACACAGAUUUCACUUUGACCAUCAGUGGAGUUCAGACUGAAGAUUCAGGAGAUUAUUACUGUCAGAGUUUUCACAGUAGUAGUGGCUAUUUUGUAUCACUGUGGUACACAUUCGGCAGCGGCACCAGACUGGAUGUUGGCAGUAACAGUCGUCCUAAAGUGAGCGUCCUGCCGCCGUCCAGUGAAGAGAUUUCCAGAAAGCAAGCAGCAACACUGAUGUGUGUGGCCAACAAGGGCUUCCCCUCAGACUGGAGUCUGAACUGGAAGGUGGACGGGAUCAGCAGCAGGUCUCAGUACAGCAGUGUUGCUCUCCUGGAGAAGGACGGUCUGUACAGCUGGAGCAGCAGUCUGACUCUCUCUGAGCAGGAGUGGAGCUCAGUGAUCUCAGUCAGCUGUGAGCUCACACAGAAAGACCAGCGUGAUAAAGUCACUGGAGAAUUGAGGAGAGAUCAGUGUUCACAGUAGAUCCACUCACUCUCUCCUCUGUCUCACAUCAAGACUAACAGACUAACUGUGUUUCUCUCUCUCAUCUCACAUCUCUUUUCACAAACAACACAAGUCUAUGUCUGCUUUAUUCAUUCACUCAUGAUUGUGUGACAAUUCAUCAAAUAAAAUCAGAUUCUAUCUUUA